AUUCGCUAGUAAUCGCGCAUCAGCCAUGGCGCGGUGAAUACGUUCCCGGGCCUUGUACACACCGCCCGUCAAGCCAUGAAAGCCGGGGGUGCCUGAAGUCCGUGACCGCGAGGGUCGGCCUAGGGUAAAACUGGUGAUUGGGGCUAAGUCGUAACAAGGUAUC
rnacentral:rRNA from 1 species